rnacentral:rRNA from 1 species
GAGACCCCUGCCUCUAGUUGCUACCAUUAUUCUCAGGAGUAGUGGAGCUAAUUAGAGGGAUUGCCGUCGCUGAGACAGAGGAAGGAGGGGGCUACGGCAGGUCAGUAUGCCCCGAAACCCUCGGGCCACACGCGGGCUGCAAUGGUAAGGACAAUGAGUAUCUAUUCCGAAAGGAGGAGGCAAUCUCUAAACCUUACCACAGUUAUGAUUGAGGGCUGAAACUCGCCCUCAUGAAUAUGGAAUCCCUAGUAACCGCGUGUCACUAUCGCGCGGGGAAUUC